rnacentral:rRNA from 1 species
AUUGACCGCUGGCGGCAGGCUUAACACAUGCCAGUCGCACGAGUGGCGGACGGGUGAGUAAUGCUUGGGAAUCUCGCUUAUGGAGGGGGAUAACUACGGGCAACUGUAGCUAAUACCGCGUACCAUAGGAUGAGCCCAAGUGGGAUUAGGUAGUUGGUGAGGUAAAGGCUCACCAAGCCGCCGAUCUCUAGCUGGUCUGAGAGGAUGACCAGCCACACUGGGACGGAGACACGGCCCAGACUCCGACGGGAGGCAGCAGUGGGGAAGAUUGCGCAAUGGGGGCAACCUGACGCAGCCAUGCCGCGUGAAUGAAGAAGGCCUUCGGGUUGUAAAGUUCUUUCGGUAGCGAGGCGUUAACUACAGAAGAAGAACCGGCUAACUCCGUGCCAGCAGCCGCGGUAAUUC